UCCAGCAGCCAUAUCACCCUGUAGCCCAAGACUUGUCGCCCACUGAUAAGCAGGGUUGAGCCUGGUCAGUACCUGGAUGGGAGACCUCCUGGGAAAACUAGGUUGCUGCUGGAA
ensembl:rRNA 5S_rRNA 5S ribosomal RNA